GCCGCACAGGCCGAAAUGGUUAAGGCACCUGGCUUCCACCCAGGCGGAACCGGGUUCGAUUCCCGGGUGCGGCU
rnacentral:tRNA from 1 species